CACACGACUCUCGGCAACGGAUAUCUCGGCUCUCGCAUCGAUGAAGAACGUAGCGAAAUGCGAUACCUGGUGUGAAUUGCAGAAUCCCGCGAACCAACGAGUCUUUGAACGCAAGUUGCGCCCGAGGCCACUCGGCCGAGGGCACGCCUGCCUGGGCGUCACGC
rnacentral:rRNA from 1 species